rnacentral:rRNA from 1 species
GACGAACGCUGGCGGCGUGCUUAACACAUGCAAGUCGAGCGGUAAGGCCCUUUCGGGGGUACACGAGCGGCGAACGGGUGAGUAACACGUGGGUGACCUGCCCUCAGCUCUGGGAUAAGCCUGGGAAACCGGGUCUAAUACCGGAUAUGACUCCAUGACGCAUGUUGUGGGGUGGAAAGCCUUGUGCGGCUGAGGAUGGGCCCGCGGCCUAUCAGCUUGUUGGUGGGGUGAGGCCUACCAAGGCGACGACGGGUAGCCGGCCUGAGAGGGCGACCGGCCACACUGGGACUGAGACACGGCCCAGACUCCUACGGGAGGCAGCAGUGGGGAAUCUUGCGCAAUGGGCGAAAGCCCUGACGCAGCGACGCCGCGUGAGGGAUGACGGCCUGG